rnacentral:rRNA from 1 species
GUCUCCAGAUGAGUUUGCGUAUCAUUAGCUAGUUGGUAGGGUAAUGGCCUACCAAGGCGACGAUGAUUAGCCGACCUGAGAGGGUGAUCGGCCACACUGGGACUGAGAUACGGCCCAGACUCCUACGGGAGGCAGCAGUGGGGAAUAUUGGACAAUGGGCGAAAGCCUGAUCCAGCAACGCCGCGUGAAGGAAGAAGGUCUUCGGAUUGUAAACUUCUGUUAUAGGGGAAAAAGAAAGUGAUGGUACCCUAUGAGAAAGCCAUGGCUAACUACGUGCCAGCAGCCGCGGUAAAACGUAGGUGGCAAGCGUUAUCCGGAAUUACUGGGCGUAAAGGGAGUGUAGGUGGCUUGAUAAGUCACAUGUGAAAGCCCACGGCUUAACCGUGGAAGUGCAUGUGAUACUGUUGAGCUAGAGUGUAGGAGAGGUGAGUGGAAUUCCUAGUGUAGCGGUAGAAUGCGUAGAGAUUAGGAGGAACACCAGAGGCGAAGGCGACUCACUGGACUAUAACUGACACUGAGACUCGAAAGCGUGGGGAGCAAACAGGAUUAGAUACCCUGGUAGUCCACGCCCUAAACGAUGGAUACUAGAUGUGGGGAGUAUCGACUCUUCCCGUGUCGUAGCUAACGCGUUAAGUAUCCCGCCUGGGGAGUACGGUCGCAAGAUUAAAACUCAAAGGAAUUGACGGGACCCCGCACAAGCAGCGGAGCAUGUCGUUUAAUUCGAAGCAACGCGAAGAACCUUACCAAGGCUUGACAUUAGAUGCAUAGUAUGGAAACAUAUGAAGUUUUGUAGCAAUACAUACAGAACAUCCAAACAGAUGGUGCAUGGUUGUCGUCAGCUCGUGUCGUGAGAUGUUGGGUUAAGUCCCGCAACGAGCGCAACCCUUGUCGUUAGUUACCAGCACGUAAUGGUGGACUCUAGCGAGACUGCCGUUGAUAAAACGGAGGAAGGUGGGGAUGACGUCAAAUCAUCAUGCCUCUUACGCCUUGGGCUACACACGUGCUACAAUGGCCGUUACAAAGAGAUGCGAAGUAGUAAUAUGGAGCGAAACUCAAAAAGGCGGUCUCAGUUCAGAUUGUGGGCUGCAACCCGCCCACAUGAAGAUGGAGUUGCUAGUAAUCCUGAAUCAGAAUGUCAG